GAGGAUAUAGCUUAGUGGUAGAGCGCAAUGAGUGAAGUCCUGGGUUCAAUCCCCAGUCCCUCCA
rnacentral:tRNA from 1 species